CGCUUUGUGGGGAAGAGGGCAGUGGCUUGUCUUACUCUGUUCCCUGAAACAGGAAGAAAAUGCUCCAAAGGCUCCCAUGUUCCACUUCUGGGAUGACUGCAUUUCAGGGGGGAACAAAGUGAUUUCCAUAUCUAAAGCUUGUAAAGAAAUUUAGAAUGGCUGAAAAGGAAAUAAACUAUAUAAAGACUCCCAUCAGCAGAUAUUAGAGCAUAAAGAAGAACCCAGUACUUACUCCUUGGCUCUCUUGGUCCAUCCACUGUAACCUUUAUAGCUCUGUGUCUGGAAGACAAGUCUGGACCAAUUUCUCCAUCCUGCCUCUGGCAGCAGAAUGUGGCAUUUCAGAUCUUCCACCAAGUCCCGGCUGCUUCAAAGGAAAAUCCCUACUUUCUUCCGUUAAGAUCAUAAGAAAUAUAGGGGGAGGGGGUCAGCUCUGUUUGGACAUAAUUACACUUCAUCAAAAGAAGCUUUCUUCAUCUUCCAUGCGUGAAAAGUCUGCAAGCAAUUUUACCCAGAUUGAUCAGAGAAAACUUCUUAACCAAAGACUGAAGAACACAAAAGAUAAAUGAAACUACUUUGGCCAAAUUUGAAAAGUCAUUAAACCUGGCUACUUGGUUCUUCAUCACAGCAGAGGCAUUCCUCAGCUCUGCAGAAUAGUUUUCAUCAUUUCCAGCCAUGACGGUGACCACGGUCCCAUCAGCUUCUUGCAGGACAACAAAGAACAUACAAGUCUGGUGUAAUAACUCUGUCUUUACACAUCUCAGUAAGAUGCUCCUGAAAGAAUUGUCAACUGAUGGACAAAUCCUGUUAUCCCUACUCCACUGACUACUAUGGAACUACUUGUGAAUAACGUGAACAUGAUUUGGCCCUAGUCCCAUUGUCCCACUUUCCUUUAUAUCUUAGCCACCUGAACAUUAUUAAGCAGCUACAAAGCUAUGUUAAUAAGCGCAUUGUUAACAUUCUUCACUAUAAAAAUAGUUUGCACUAAUUUACUCUUACUAUUCAGUAUAUUAAACAAGAACUCCCUUCACAGCUCAUGUAAAUAUUAAUACUCCAAUUCAAGUGUCCUACUAGCCAACAUGAUUUUAAAAAAUUAUAAUCAAAACUAUCACUGUUUAUAACAUACUUCCUUUCCUACAAUUGAUU